rnacentral:rRNA from 1 species
UUGCCGGGCAGCUACGCGCUAGGUGAUAAAGGCUGAAAGCAUCUAAGCCUGAGGUAUCCCCUGAAAAUAGAUU